rnacentral:rRNA from 1 species
CAGGACGAACGCUGGCGGCGUGCCUAAUACAUGCAAGUAGAACGCUGAAGAGAGGAGCUUGCUCUUCUUGGAUGAGUUGCGAACGGGUGAGUAACGCGUAGGUAACCUGCCUUGUAGCGGGGGAUAACUAUUGGAAACGAUAGCUAAUACCGCAUAACAAUGGAUGACACAUGUCAUUUAUUUGAAAGGGGCAAUUGCUCCACUACAAGAUGGACCUGCGUUGUAUUAGCUAGUAGGUGAGGUAACGGCUCACCUAGGCGACGAUACAUAGCCGACCUGAGAGGGUGAUCGGCCACACUGGGACUGAGACACGGCCCAGACUCCUACGGGAGGCAGCAGUAGGGAAUCUUCGGCAAUGGGGGCAACCCUGACCGAGCAACGCCGCGUGAGUGAAGAAGGUUUUCGGAUCGUAAAACUCUGUUGUAAGUCAAGAACGAGUGUGAGAGUGGAAAGUUCACACUGUGACGGUAGCUUACCAGAAAGGGACGGCUAACUACGUGCCAGCAGCCGCGGUAAUACGUAGGUCCCGAGCGUUGUCCGGAUUUAUUGGGCGUAAAGCGAGCGCAGGCGGUUUGAUAAGUCUGAAGUUAAAGGCUGUGGCUCAACCAUAGUUCGCUUUGGAAACUGUCAAACUUGAGUGCCAGAAGGGGAGAGUGGAAUUCCAUGUGUAGCGGUGAAAUGCGUAGAUAUAUGGAGGAACACCGGUGGCGAAAGCGGCUCUCUGGUCUGUAACUGACGCUGAGGCUCGAAAGCGUGGGGAGCGAACAGGAUUAGAUACCCUGGUAGUCCACGCCGUAAACGAUGAGUGCUAGGUGUUGGAUCCUUUCCGGGAUUCAGUGCCGCAGCUAACGCAUUAAGCACUCCGCCUGGGGAGUACGACCGCAAGGUUGAAACUCAAAGGAAUUGACGGGGGCCCGCACAAGCGGUGGAGCAUGUGGUUUAAUUCGAAGCAACGCGAAGAACCUUACCAGGUCUUGACAUCCCGAUGCUAUUUCUAGAGAUAGAAAGUUACUUCGGUACAUCGGUGACAGGUGGUGCAUGGUUGUCGUCAGCUCGUGUCGUGAGAUGUUGGGUUAAGUCCCGCAACGAGCGCAACCCCUAUUGUUAGUUGCCAUCACUCAGUUGGGCACUCUAGCGAGACUGCCGGUAAUAAACCGGAGGAAGGUGGGGAUGACGUCAAAUCAUCAUGCCCCUUAUGACCUGGGCUACACACGUGCUACAAUGGUUGGUACAACGAGUUGCGAGUCGGUGACGGCAAGCUAAUCUCUUAAAGCCAAUCUCAGUUCGGAUUGUAGGCUGCAACUCGCCUACAUGAAGUCGGAAUCGCUAGUAAUCGCGGAUCAGCACGCCGCGGUGAAUACGUUCCCGGGCCUUGUACACACCGCCCGUCACACCACGAGAGUUUGUAACACCCGAAGUCGAUGAGGUAACCUUUUGGAGCCAGCCGCCUAAGGUGG